rnacentral:rRNA from 1 species
UAUGUAGGGUGCGAGCGUUAAUCGGAAUUACUGGGCGUAAAGCGUGCGCAGGCGGUUUUGUAAGCCAGAUGUGAAAGUCCUGGGCUUAACCUGGGGACUGCAUUUGAUACUGGGUUGCUUGAAUUCGGGAGAGGAUAGCGGAAUUCCCAGUGUAGAGGUGAAAUUCGUAGAUAUUGGGAAGAACACCGGUGGCGAAGGCGGCUAUCUGGACCGACAUUGACGCUGAGGCGCGAAAGCGUGGGGAGCAAACAGG